AUUGAACGCUGGCGGCAGGCUUAACACAUGCAAGUCGAACGAGUGGCGGACGGGUGAGUAAUGCUUGGGAAUCUAGCUUAUGGAGGGGAUAACUACGGGAAACUGUAGCUAAUACCGCGUACCAUAGGAUGAGCCCAAGUGGGAUUAGGUAGUUGGUGAGGUAAAGGCUCACCUAGCCGACGAUCUCUAGCUGGUCUGAGAGGAUGACCAGCCACACUGGGACUGAGCAACGGCCCAUAGUCCUACGGGAGUCAGCAGGGGUGUAGAUUUCGCAAUGGGGUCAACUUGACGCAGCCAUGCCUCGUGAAUGAAGAAGGCCUUCGGGUUGUAAAGUUCUUUCGGUAGCGAGGCGUUAACUACAGAAGAAGCACCGGCUAACUCCGUGCCAGCAGCCGCGGUAAUUC
rnacentral:rRNA from 1 species